rnacentral:lncRNA from 1 species
CACUGUUUCAAGUUGUGGUAUGCAUCAAAAAAUGUCCAACAGCAUUCGUCCUUCUACUCGUAAAGGCAUUUGUUUCUAAGAUCGAUAUGGUGUAUACCAUUAUGCCAGAAAUCAAAUGAAGCAGAAAGCUGAUGUAACUUAUCUGCUUUACUCGAUCCCUUAAGACAAAUACAUGAAAGAAGUGUAAUAACGCCUAACACAAACACACAUAUGCACAAACUCAAAACAGUACACCAUAACCAC